rnacentral:rRNA from 1 species
AAUACCACCCUUUAAUGUUUGAUGUUCUAACGUGGACCCGUGAUCCGGGUUGCGGACAGUGUCUGGUGGGUAGUUUGACUGGGGCGGUCUCCUCCUAAAGAGUAACGGAGGAGCACGAAGGUUGGCUAAUCCUGGUCGGACAUCAGGAGGUUAGUGCAAUGGCAUAAGCCAGCUUGACUGCGAGCGUGACGGCGCGAGCAGGUGCGAAAGCAGGUCAUAGUGAUCCGGUGGUUCUGAAUGGAAGGGCCAUCGCUCAACGGAUAAAAGGUACUCCGGGGAUAACAGGCUGAUACCGCCCAAGAGUUCAUAUCGACGGCGGUGUUUGGCACCUCGAUGUCGGCUCAUCACAUCCUGGGGCUGAAGUAGGUCCCAAGGGUAUGGCUGUUCGCCAUUUAAAGUGGUACGCGAGCUGGGUUUAGAACGUCGUGAGACAGUUCGGUCCCUAUCUGCCGUGGGCGCUGGAGAACUGAGGGGGGCUGCUCCUAGUACGAGAGGACCGGAGUGGACGCAUCACUGGUGUUCGGGUUGUCAUGCCAAUGGCACUGCCCGGUAGCUAAAUGCGGAAGAGAUAAGUGCUGAAAGCAUCUAAGCACGAAACUUGCCCCGAGAUGAGUUCUCCCUGACCCUUUAAGGGUCCUGAAGGAACGUUGAAGACGACGACGUUGAUAGGCCGGGUGUGUAAGCGCAGCGAUGCGUUGAGCUAACCGGUACUAAUGAACCGUGAGG